rnacentral:rRNA from 1 species
UCAGACGAUGCGUCAUGCAUAUCAAUAAGCGGAGGAAAAGAAACUAACAAGGAUUCCCUUAGUAACGGCGAGUGAAGCGGGAAGAGCUCAAAUUUGAAAUCUUCAAGGUUUUACCUUGACGAAUUGUAGUUUAAAGAAGUGUUUUCUGCUGAAGUUUUGGUAAAAGUUCUUUGGAAUAGGACAUCAUAGAGGGUGAGAAUCCCGUAUUUGACCAUUAUUUUCAGCUUUGUGAUACACUUUCAAAGAGUCGGAUUGUUUGGGAAUGCAGUCCAAAAUGGGUGGUAAAUUUCAUCUAAAGCUAAAUAUUGGCGAGAGACCGAUAGCGAACAAGUACCGUGAGGGAAAGAUGAAAAGAACUUUGAAAAGAGAGUUAAACAGUACGUGAAAUUGUCAAAAGGGAAGCGUUUGACACCAGUGUUGUUUUCUCGAAAAUCAAUUAAAAAUGGCUCGAUUUUGUAUUGCUGAGACCUUAAAAGUUCACUGUACAUUUUUCGUGUCUUUUUUAAUGCACUUUUCGUUUAACAAGUCAACAUCAGUUUCUUUUGUUGUAAAAGGGUCAUUGGAAGGUGGCUUUCUUUUCGGAGAAAGUGUUUAUAGCCUUUGGCCUCUGCAAUCGGAGAGACUGAGGUCUGCAGCGUAGACUCUUCGGGGUUAGAUACAUUUGAUGCUAAGUUAUAGCUUUUUAUAGACAACUUGUUGACUAUAAUUAGUCUUGUAGCUUACUCGCUUAUGCUAUUUUACCUACGCUUAGGAUGUUGACGAUCAGCUGAGCGCG